GUCCCGCGGGCGGCGCGGAAGCGGCGGCGGCUGCGGCGCUGGCGGGGCAGCCAUGUCGCCAUUGUCUGCGUUGCGGGCGGCCCUGCGGGUCUACGCAGCCGGCGCCGUCGUGAUCCUGGAGCAGCUGCUGCGGCGCUGCCGAGGGGGCUUCCCGGAGCCAGUUUUCACCCCACAACCCGACCGUGUCGCUAUAGUGACGGGCGGGACGGAUGGCAUCGGCUACUCCACGGCGAAGCGUCUGGCGAGACUCGGCAUGCAUGUGAUCAUAGCUGGAAAUAAUGACGGCAAAGCCGAGGAAGUCGUAAGAAAAAUAAAAGAAGAAACGCUGAACGUCAAAGUGGAGUUUUUAUACUGUGACCUGGCUUCGAUGGCGUCCAUCUGGCGGUUUGUCCAGAAGUUCAAGAUGAAGAAGAUUCCCCUCCAUGUGCUGGUUAACAAUGCUGGGGUGAUGAUGGUCCCUCAGAGGAAAACCAGAGAUGGAUUCGAGGAACAUUUCGGCCUGAACUACCUGGGGCACUUCCUGCUCACCAACCUUCUCCUGGAUACCCUGCGAGAAUCAGGGUCCCCGGGCCACAGUGCAAGGGUGGUCACUGUCUCCUCCGCCACCCAUUACGUUGCUGAGCUGAACAUGGACGACCUUCAGAGCAGUGCCUGCUACUCACCCCACGGAGCCUACGCCCAGAGCAAGCUGGCCCUCGUCCUGUUCACCUACCACCUGCAGCGGCUGCUGGCGGCUGCGGGGAGCCACGUGACGGCCAACGUGGUGGACCCCGGCGUGGUGGACACGGGCCUCUACAGACAUGUGUUCUGGGGUACACGUCUAGUGAAGAAGCUUCUCGGCUGGUUGCUUUUCAAGACCCCCGAUGAAGGAGCACGGACCUCCGUCUACGCAGCAGUCACCCCAGAGCUGGAAGGAGUUGGAGGCCGUUACCUGUACAACGAGACAGAGAUCAGGUCCCUCCCCAUCACCUAUGACCAGACACUGCAGCAGCAGCUCUGGUCUAAGAGCUGUGAGAUGACGGGCAUCCUUGAUGUGACCUUGAGAUACCCUGUGUCAGGAUAGCUGCGGCGCCCAGAAGCCCGCUGCGCCUCCCACCGGCUGCUGGCUCUGUGAAGACCGUGAGACCCAGCUGUGAUUGACAGGUGUCAGGACUGGGGAGAGGUGUGAGUCUCACUUGUGACACCGCGUAGGAUCUGCUGCAUGUGGCCAGCAGCACCAUCUGGUCAGCGUGACUCCAGGGUGGCUCAGUCCCAGGCACCGUCCAGUAGCACCUGCCUAGGCGGACAUCUCUUCUUGACGCCUCCUGAAUCUACAGUACUCACCUGUACUCCACUCACCAGGGACAUUAACACCUUUCUUCAUGAUGCCCUGGCACGAGGCCUGCGCUCCUUAUGUGUGAGGCUGAUGACCACUGGGUGGCUUAUUAUCCAUUCCCCUAAGUGACAAAUCCCCCUGACUACUCAAAUCCAACAUUAGCUCCUGGCACACCUGUACCAUGGAAUCAAUCAGCUGCGAUUCUGGGAUGGACUUCUAACCAAUGGCGGGAGCACAGGCCUCUUCCAUGAGCGGUUGAUUGUUCUCACAUGGCAGCAGAGAGGGGCUGUCAGAAUCCUGUAGUGCUGGACCCUACAAUGGAGCGCAGACACUCGUGUGUCUGAACGGGAAUGCCUUCUUCCGUUAAACCACAAUCCAGGCCGUGCAUUCAUCCCAAAAGCAUUUCCCAGCAGUCAGGACUCCAGAGCAAAUAUUUUCUUCUAAAAAUACCACCACCUCUGUACAUCUGCACCGUAUCCAACAGCAUUUUGCAGUUUCAAGCCCUUGCAAGACAUGCCAGCUGGUUUUUUUUUUUCUUUACAUGGAU